rnacentral:lncRNA from 1 species
CGCGAUAAAGCCAACAGGGAUCAGGCGGCGGGGCGCACGAUAACCGGCACGGCAACGGUGGGCCGGGCGGCGAGGGCGGCCUCGGCGGCACGGAGGCGCGACGACAGACGCAGGUCACGAAGGCCCAAUAGCAGAAAGAGGCCCAAGACAACGACGAGCACGACAAUGCCAAUGACGACGGCGUGAUCGACGAUAAAGCGCUCGAACCGGUUGAGGCGGCCAAAGACGACGUUCUUGGCAAAGGUGCGCGAGGCCGAGCGCAGGCGCGCGGCCGUCACCGGCGUGGGUGUCGUCGAGCAGAUGGUCUGCACGCAGGGGGCCAGCGUCUCACUGAGCCAGGGAAAGGCCGCGGCAGUGCGCGCCGCGGCCUCGGUCGACUCGAGUGUGGUCACCACGCGGUCGAGGUCGGCACACAUCUGGUUGGUGGUGGCGCCCGCCACGUAGCCGACACCCUCGGCGAGACACGUGAUCUCGGGGCACGUGGCAGAGGACACGACCGACGCGCACUUGCUUCGGUCAUAGGUCGGCAGACCGGGCGUGCAAUACUCGACGGCGUCGGUCAAGGUCUCGAUGUACUGGAGGCACGUGGCACUGGGCACGGGCGCGCCACCGCGGCCGUCACCCGCCACAAAGGCCGAGGCGCGCGCCAACGCGUCCGAUACGGCCGGGCGCCGCUGACGCAGAAAGAACGGGUCGCCAGUAGUCGGCGCUGCCGUCGUCGUCAUCCCUUUUCCUCCUUUUCCCUUGUUUUUUUUGAUUCCAAAAAAAAGAGGAUUUUUCGG